UUUCUCGUUCCCCAUCCCCAUCGCUAUCAAAUCCGGCGCACCGCCGGCUCCCUCCUCCCCCAUGGCCAUGCACCGCUGGGUCGCGAUUGUUUUUCGCCCAAGCCCUGCUGCCUCUGUCCCCAGACCCGCCAUCGAGGUAAGAUCAGCGGCAAAGCCCAGACACACACCUCCCGCAAGCACCCCGGUGGUCAAGAGCUGCACCUCAUCUUCCCCGUCUUCCUCAAAGGUAGCAGCAAUUUGUUUCCUUGUUUUUUCUUGACCAAGAUUUGCAUCUGCUUUCGUGUGUGAUAGUGGCUUUUAUGUGAUGGAUUUUUCAUCCAGCACACUUCGGAAGAUGGAUGAAGAUGGAUUGAUCUUAUUUUGUUUCCUCUCCUGCAGUUUUUAGCCAAUGAUUGCUCUUGUUUAGCCCCUCUCCAUCAACAAGAAAACAGGGAAGAUCUUGAUGUACUUUUGUAAUUCAUAGCUGAAAUUUGCUGUAACAAGGACCUUUCUGAUGGCUAUCUCUGAAUUCUCUGCCUACUGUUAUUAUUAUGGCCUCAGUUUUAUACAUGAAACAAAAUAAUUGGGUGAAGAACUAUUUGGGAUAUUUUCUGAAGAACAAUCUA
rnacentral:lncRNA from 1 species